GAUCCGCAACCGCUGGGCCUUCAUCGUCGGCGCCGCCGCGCCGCCCUCCACGCAGGGUGCGGUCGAUGGCCGCCGCCUGGACGCUCCACGCGCACACACAAUAGUCAGCAGGCGGGCGACACAGCGGCAGCCGUAGGGGAGCCGCGGCAACGAGCCGGCGACCAGCGGGAAGCGGCGGAGCAGCGGCCACCAGCCAUCGGCAGCGGAGCAGGCAGGCGACCGCGACAUCAACGGCCAGCAGCCAGAUGUAGGAAAUAGGCCAUGAUCUACAUGUAUUGAUGCCUUGAUAAUGGCAGGUCUUGCGAGUACUUCAAUAUAUGUUAAUUGGAGGUUAGAGCUAUGAAGUUAUACCUCAGAACUUGGGGUAAUGGCAUGUGAAUUGCAGUGGUUUGAGUACUGCUAAGAGCAUCCAUUUCAUCCAUCUGGAAUGCAUCUUUAUUUAAUUUAAUUCAUAAUGAGGAAGUGAAACACGAACCGUGUUGGCGAUUUUUUUGGAGCUUCAAAGAUAACAGCGAAAAGAGUAGAAGGAAUGAGGAUGACGAUAAAUCAUAAGGGUGUCGUUUGGAUGGAGGAGCAAACCAGGAGGCAAUUUGUAGAUGCCAUUAGAUGCAGCACCUGGCGUUUUCAGAUUGCAGAACAUGGUGGUGGGAUGAUGCUGGCAGGAGGAAAAGAGGGAUGCAAUUUCUGAAGGUUUAUAUUUACUGCUUUAAGGAUGACAGGUGUAUCGGGUGACACAGGGGAUGAGAGUUGGACGGCUUUAAGAAAAACUGUUCUCGCAUGGAAACAUGGUUCUGAAAGAUCACACCUGUUGUAAUCUCAAAUGAAAUAAGCAUACAGCCAGCUGUUGGUGCACAUGGAAAUGGAAGAUCUUUGGUCAAUUCAAUCUUCUCUUUACCUUUGAUGGGAACUCACUGAAUAAUAUGGACGUGCUUACUUGGAUAGAGAAGAUGGUAAGUUAGAUCAAUCAUCUUGGGAGAGGUUUCUUAUCCGACAAAAUCCGACUAGACUAAUGAUUCUCAUUAUAUUUAACUGAUGUGGCAAAUAUGAAAAGUGCAAAAGAAAAGUGUGGCAAAUGUGCAGCCCCCUUUAAGUAACAUGAGUCUUUGUCUGAAUAUUAUAUUAUAUUAAAUGUAACUUGGAAAAGAAAUUGAGGAUCUAUUAUAUUAAAUGUGUGGCGGAAAAAAGAGAGUAACAAUAAUGGUGUCUUGU